AAUGAGUCGCCUCUAACUGCGGUUGUAUCGCGCUACGUUCGUAUGAAAAUUGAAAGCUGUUUAUUUUCCACGUGAAAAGGUGGUAGUGGUAGCCGUGCUGUACGUAAGAUGCAAAAGAAGUUUAGGAAGUCGCAUCUGAAGGGAAGUACGUCGCAGCCAGAAAAUGCUACAGAUUCCAGUUCGACCAACCGACUUGAGGUCCGAAUCAGGGAACUGAACAUUAGCGAGGAAUCUUCGCGUUUAAAGAUGGUCGCACUGAUGGCGUCUGGCAUGGUGAAGGGGACCAAGGGCAUAUUAAGUCUGUCGCUACAGAGACGUUGUUUCAACGAAAUGACCAGGUGGUUAAGGAAAGUCGUAAGUUCCUUAUAAGUGAAUUACUUCAAGAUAUUGUUGUUACAGUUUUACAAAAUUUGCCGAAUUGACAUUUCUUGACCAUAACAAUGGAGAUGUUUAGAAACCCAUUCCGACAUGAGUUCAAUAUAAAACUCCUGAAGCAACAAGUACAAGCACAUCUUAAAAUGCGUACCGACCAUAAUGCCACUAGGCGGACUUCCAUCAUUUCUCUGAACGGAAGAACUGGGUUAGAGAACAGCGUUUCUAAACGAUCACUCACUUCAAAACAUUGACCGCAUUUUAAGGGAAGUAUCUUUGAUCGUACCUAGAUCAUUUUUGGUAAUAAAUCUAUUUUGUAGGUUCUUUUAUGGAAAGUGUACCAGAAGUUAAAAAAGAGCCUUCUGUUCCAAUGGAUUGAGCAUUGAGUACCUGUUCGAUUGCGUAUCAUCAGCCUAGGACCACUUUAGUUGAGACUUGCCGCCUAGACACACGGUCUCGGGCAGUACCUACCUAUACUCGCUAGCAGUCCAAAACGGCGACACCAUUCCAAAGAAGAUGCGAAGAUUCGAAUUCAUACAGAGCACCGUCUUUGGAAACCUGAGAGAUUGUCGGCAAAGCGCAACAAGGCAGAUAUGAAGCACUAUCCUCCACAUCGAAUUCGGCGCCAUCAUCAUCGUCCCAACCGUUAACUAGGACAUUAUCCUAAGAAUCCUAUGCACGUGGUUUCCUUACUGCACCUGUCGCUGUACCUUCCACAGAGAGGAGAUUGGUAUGUCAAGAAGAAGUGGUUACCUGGUAUGCCCUAAAACAAUACAAAAAACAUUAUGUUACAUGCUACACAAUAACUUGUGAUUUAAGAUGUAUUUGGUUUUUGUUAAUAAAUUUACUCACCGUC